rnacentral:rRNA from 1 species
GACGAACGCUGGCGGCGUGCCUAAUACAUGCAAGUCGAGCGCAGGAAACUGACGGAACUCUUCGGAGGGAAGGCAGUGGAAUGAGCGGCGGACGGGUGAGUAACACGUAAGGAACCUGCCUCAAGGAUUGGGAUAACUCCGAGAAAUCGGAGCUAAUACCGGAUAGUUCAACGGACCGCAUGGUCCGCUGAUGAAAGGCGCUCCGGCGUCACCUUGAGAUGGCCUUGCGGUGCAUUAGCUAGUUGGUGGGGUAACGGCCCAACAAGGCGACGAUGCAUAGCCGACCUGAGAGGGUGAUCGGCCACACUGGGACUGAGACACGGCCCAGACUCCUACGGGAGGCAGCAGUAGGGAAUCUUCCACAAUGGACGAAAGUCUGAUGGAGCAACGCCGCGUGAGUGAUGAAGGUUUUCGGAUCGUAAAACUCUGUUGUAAGGGAAGAAAACGUACGAGAGGAAAUGCUCGUACCUUGACGGUACCUUACGAGAAAGCCACGGCUAACUACGUGCCAGCCGCCGCGGUAAUAC